rnacentral:lncRNA from 7 species
UGAGAUUCUAUGAUUCUAUGAUGGAAACCUUGUGAAGGACUUACACUUCAGCUAUUGUAAAUAUGCCCAUAGCAGAACAGUGAAUGAUAACAUUACAUUUUGCUUUUGGAGUAUCUGACAGUGGCAGAAAGACUUGAAAGCGUAUGAUCCUUUGCAGUAUGGCAUAACAUUACCUUUAUAUAAAGUAACUAAGUAAGCCACUGUUUUUGCUUAAAUAAGUUCUUCAUUAUGAUCGCCCAGUUUGCUUUUGUUACGCAGGAGGAUUGCAAAAGUGAGUGAUGUAUUUGAAGGCUUGGUUAACACUGGAAAGCCUACCAAAAUUGGGAAAGAUCAUACAUUCAAAUCCUUGGCUAGGUUUUAAUUUCACAACAUGGUGUUGUUGUUGUUGUAAACUGCUGCUUCUAUACUGAUCAUAGAAUUACCUGCCAGAAAAAGAGUUUGACUGUUCAAUGUACUAACUGCUAUUACUAUUAUUACAUCCUUCUGAAAUUUAAAGAAAAGGAAUAAAAGAAAAAAGGAUUUAUUUUUUCUGAGGUUGGAUGUUUUCCCAUUUGUCAUAACAGAGGAAAAAAAAAUUGAUUCAGUGCCUGCUUCUGUUUAGAACUGCAAAUGAAACGCCCCACAACAGAAGCCGUUCGGUUUCUGGUACUGAUUACCAGGUUGGAGUCUCAUCUGAGAAGGUGGAGCGAUCGCAAGUCUGCACGUCACUGCGGUGAUCCAGUGGGAGGAGGCAGCCCACCCGGGCCCAUCAGCCGUCGAUCUGGAUUUCCUCCUGUGUGCAGGCGAUUGGCCACCCCGUGCAUGGUUCACUUGGGUGUGACUGCGAGCCCUGCUUAGUUCUGUGAAAGUCACAGAGAGCCUACGUGCAGCAAAAGGUAACCCGAUAGCGCAGAGAAGACGCAGGAGUUACGACCCCCAAACAAAAAAGAACCGUACCGGCAGAGAAACAGAGCAGAAACUGCACAGCUGAUGGAGUGUGAGGAGAAGAAAUCUGAACAUCAUUGUCUAAAUCUUUAUAUAAGGCUUCUAAACCUAACUGUCAAAGUUCAUUCAGCUGAGCUAAAAUACAAAACAAGGUACUUAGUGGCUUUGAAAUAAAACUAGAGAUUAUCGCAAGUGCUGCAGUUGUUCAAAUUCAGCUCCUGCCAAGUUUUCACACCACCGAUGCUUCUAAGAACAGAGAAACCUACCUUAGAAGCUUCUUCCCAAUUUGUAUCUUGCUAUUUUCAGUAUUAAAUUUAGAACAGUGU